CGCAGCGUCGGACGUGGAGCCAUAGAUACAAGACAGGGUCUCCUAAUCCGCCCAGGUCAGGAGCGCGGAGGAUGAAGACGGGAGGAAGAAGCGGAGCAUCUACCUCCACAGUGGCCACAUGGCAGUCCAAGUGAACCCAGGACAAGAGCGCAGCCACAGCCCUAAACUGAGUCCGGAAAAGGGACGAAAGCAGUCUAUCGCGGAACUUCCUGUUUUUCGCCGGAAGCGGAAGUCGACUGCCGGGCUAGAUUAGCUGCAGCGUCGCUCUAGGCUUCGGUAGUGCUGCGCACUCUAUGGUUUUAACUCAUCUCUGUUCGUCCUUGCUCUUGCACCAAACAUUUCUCUCCCCCGGGAAAAAUGCUUUGUCUUCCUCCGCCUCAGUUGACCCAGUGACAGAAUGGAAGGAGAUGAACAAGAAUUCAGAUACUCCCCUGUAUCUGAGGAGGCACAUCCUGGGGGCAUCUGUGCCACUCAAUAUGACAGAAAGGGACAGUGUCCACUGGGGUGGGGUCAGUCUAGAUGAGGCUAGGCGCGGUCUACUGGACAAGCCCUGUGUCCUACUUUGCUCUGUUGCUGUGAUAAACACUGUGAUCCGAAGCAACUUGGAAAGAAAAGGGUUUAUUUCAGUUUACAGUUACAGUCUACCAUCCAAGGAAGCCAGGGCAGGAGCUCGGAGCCGAAACCAGGGAGGAACGCUGCUCGAUGGACUGGAAAUUGAACUCAGAGCUGUGCUGACUCUGCAAGCCCGCUUCCACCAAGCUGCGCCCCAACUCCACCAAAGACUUGACAGAUUCAGUUGAUGGGAAUCCCAUGACGCCUCAAGCAUCUGCAAGUAAAAGCCUCCAAGGCAAAGGCCGAUGACCUCGCCCCCUUGUGGCCCUGGCUCCCCUGAGCCCCGUGUCACAGUCAAUAUCUGUUGUGUAACCAUCCUGGCAAGAGAGAAAAGAGACAUCUGUGUCCCUUCCUUUGGCUAUCAGUGGGGAAGCAAUGUUCCCCAAGAAACUGCAGUUUCCCUGGGAGCCUCUCCAGUGAAGAAGAAGCGAGGCUGGUGCCAGCCAGAGAAGAACAUGUCUCCCAGGAGACUUCACACAGGUCUGCAGUUUCUCAGACCACCGUGCAGAGAGACUGGAGCUGACACGAGGGUGGGCAGGGCCACCUCCACAAGAACUGCUUAGUUUUCAUACCUCUAAACCUCCUGCCAGGUCUCAGCAGAUGGACUUGGUGGGGUGGUCACUGGCCUCUUGUUCCUUUUUUUUGUUCAUCCUCCCGAUGUGACCACAUCAAAUAAACCUUUCCCUGCCUUC